CAGCAGACUUUUGCCAACCUUUGAAACCCGAGGAUCCAUCAGAGACACGUCCACAGUGACGAGAGAGUGUAUCCCUGCGACGUCUGCACCAAGACUUUCAAAUGCAUGAAGGAUGUGACGCGCCUCCGACGACAGGUGCAUGAGGGAGGCGGCUUGCGGCACACCGGUCUUGUGUGUAAUAGGGCACUGAGCUCUAAGACAGCGUUGAGGUGGAGGGGGAGAGUGGAGUUGGAGGGCAAUGAUCCAACACACCUCCAGGCUGUGUAAGGGCUAUUUGACGAACGA